AUGACUACGUGUUUCCAUCUACUUUUGCAUGCGAUGGUUCACGGUGCCGCUAAAACCGAUAUCGCCCGGUGUUUCUGGAGGGCCCAUGCUUCGAUCUUUCUGGAGUCGUGGCUUCCCUAUAAAUAUGGGAUCCUUCAUGGUGCGUAUAUGGGUUUGCAGGCUUCCCUUCCUAUCAUCGAUUGUUUGAUUAUUCGUUGCUACGCUCGCCACCGCAAUUCCCGGCCGCCGGCGUCUAACCUUUUGUGUUCGCCGCCCAUGGACCUGCGAAAUCUCGGCGCGCUCGGGCGUGAGACAUGUGGCGUCGACCCAGCCGUCGACGACGUCGAUGAGGGUGUGGAGCCGAUGGAGUGCGUGUUGCCACACUGGUGGCUCGGCAGCUCGACCUCACCCUUGCCGCAUCUUAUUUGUGCCGGCCCAGGCCGCCGGUACCUGACCGUCUCCGUGCCGCCCGCCGCCGUGGGGAACUGUCGUGUGGGAAACUCCGGCGGAGGGCCCCGUAUGGCAAGGUGGAACGGCUAUCUUGAACCAAGAAAAAAAUACGUAGGUAUGUAUGAUUGUAUUGAUGGUGAUGACGUCUGGCGCAAGCUCCUGGCUUUGGUUCAUAGGAAGAAGAAGAAGGGACGGAAGCAGAGAGAGAGGAGUAGUUGUGGGAUGGGGUCCGUAGUUUUCUUCAUGAGCCGAGUAGACUGUCUGGUGGCCUGUGGAUCGUGGUGCGUCUCGACCAAGUGGCAGAGCGACGGCCGGCGCUGGACUUCGCAUAUCGAGAGUCCCGACCCCGAGGUCUCUGAGAUAUCGCCUGAUGCGCUGCUCCACGGCAACACAGACGGCGACGAGUUCGUGGGUAUGCUACUCUCAUUUCUCAACUAUCUUCUGUCCGCACACGAACACGUCACCGUGUACCUCCAACGCCGAGGGCGAUGCACCGUAGCUCACGUUGAAGGAGACCCGCCGGAAGCGCUGUACGCAAGACAAGGGCGCUUUUGUAGACCCGAAACUUCACACGCCCGGGAGGGACCCGUCAGGGCGCGCAGCGGCUAUGGGCUGCCCUAG
rnacentral:rRNA from 1 species